AGUCGAAUUGCGUGGGCAAAUCUGUCUGCUGAUUUUAAGCUUGCGUGUUGAAGUGCCAUUUGUAUACUGGAUUGUUCCUUGCAGCUUGUUGGCGUUGUGCUGCCAGAAUUGUGUCAAUGGUGCUGUAAAAUGUAUACUCAAUGAAUGAAACAAACACUGCUAGCUGUUCUUUUUUGGCUUUUGACCUUCUGUGAUAGCAGGCACUCUGAUACCACCAGUUGGUCAGGAGGACAGCCUACAGGGACUGGAAGACAGUCAAUAAGAAGUGAUGAAUGAUGGUCCGCCUCAGAAGGACCGCCAACAAACCUGGAGGAUUAUCUGUAAGACUGGAGGAGAGGAGGUCUGCCCUCAGGACGGGGGGACAUCCUGUUGGGUCUGACGACCACCUGUAGGAUGAAAGGACCGGGGCACAGCAUACAGGACCACCUACAUGACUUGAAGACUGCCAAUAAGAAGUGAUAUGAACGAUGGUCUCCUUCAAAAGUAAUUUUCUUUUUGGAAUAUAUCAGAUGCCAGAAUUUUCUUUAUUGAUUCUUGGUUUCUUUACAAGGACCGCCUACAAACCUAGAUGAUUAUCUGUAGGACUGGAGGACCAGAAAGUCGUUUGCAGGGCUGGAGGAACAUCUGCAAGAAUGGACUGCAAGGCAGGAAUGGAAGAUCACCUAUAGGACUAGAGGACCAUCAAUCCGCAGGACUUGGAGGACUGGAGCACUGUCUACGGGACAGGAGGACUGCCAAUAAGUGAUGAAUAAUAGUCAUUUUCAGAAAGUAACGUCUUUAAAAUAUGUCAGAUGUCAGAGAAUUGUCUUUGAUACAUAAUUUCAUUACUAGGACCGCCUACAAACCAGGAGGAUUAUCUGUAGGUCUGGACGACCACCUGCGGAAGCGGAUGUGUGCCUCCUGGAGGACUUGAGGACCGGAGGACUGUCUACAGGACAGUAUAGCCUACAGCACCACCUAUCGGACUGGAAGAUUGCCAAUAAGGGAUGAAUGGUAGUCGGCUUCAGAAGAACUGCCUGCAGGACCUGCGGAUCGCUUACAGAAUGAGAGGACUGUCUAUAUCGACUGUGUCAAGAAACGAGAAGUUUUAAAUGAUAAUUAGUCUCAGAAGAUAAGUCACUCAUCAGACUUCUCUCCAAGAAGGCACUGGUGUUAUCAGUAAGUCAACCACAGAAGGUAGAAGGUCAAAUAAAGAGCUGGUCGUAUUUGUUUGAUCCAUUUUUGAGUAUACAUUUUUGUACAGCAUCAUUGAAACAGUAAUGGCAGUGCAUCACUAUCAAGCUGCAAAGAACAAGCCAGUAUGCAAAAUUCUCUUCCAACACUCAAGCUUUAAAUAAAUCCUUAGGCAGCUCUUCCCAUCCAUUUCUACUUCUGCCACCCUCUUCCCCCUUUAAAAGUCUCCUACCUACCAUGCUGUGGCGCUGUAAGGAUAGGUUUAUAGGGAGCUAGGUGGAUAGGCAAGGAUCAGAGUAGGGUUUUGUAGAUAGCAUUGCCAUGGCCAUGGCGGGAGGGA